CCAAACGCUGGCGGCAUGCCUUACACAUGCAAGUCUUAAGGUAACGGGCCUUCGGGUGCCGACGAGUGGCGAACGGGUGAGUAAUGCAUCGGAACGUACCUUUCAGUGGGGGAUAACGUAGCGAAAGUUACGCUAAUACCGCAUAUUCUGUGAGCAGGAAAGCAGGGGAUCGCAAGACCUUGCGCUGAUUGAGCGGCCGAUGUCAGAUUAGCUAGUUGGUGAGGUAAAGGCUCACCAAGGCGACGAUCUGUAGCGGGUCUGAGAGGAUGAUCCGCCACACUGGAACUGAGACACGGUCCAGACUCCUACGGGAGGCAGCAGUGGGGAAUUUUGGACAAUGGGGGCAACCCUGAUCCAGCCAUGCCGCGUGAGUGAAGAAGGCCUUCGGGUUGUAAAGCUCUUUCAGCCGGGAAGAAAACGCAUGGGUUAAUACCCUAUGUGGAUGACGGUACCGGAAUAAGAAGCACCGGCUAACUACGUGCCAGCAGCCGCGGUAAUACGUAGGGUGCGAGCGUUAAUCGGAAUUACUGGGCGUAAAGCGUGCGCAGGCGGUUUGUUAAGAUAGGCGUGAAAUCCCCGGGCUCAACCUGGGAACUGCGUUUAUGACUGGCAGGCUAGAGUAUGGCAGAGGGGGGUGGAAUUCCACGUGUAGCAGUGAAAUGCGUAGAGAUGUGGAGGAACACCGAUGGCGAAGGCAGCCCCCUGGGCCAAUACUGACGCUCAUGCACGAAAGCGUGGGUAGCAAACAGGAUUAGAUACCCUGGUAGUCCACGCCCUAAACGAUGUCAACUAGGUGUUGGGUGGGUAAAACCAUUUAGUACCGGAGCUAACGCGUGAAGUUGACCGCCUGGGGAGUACGGCCGCAAGGUUAAAACUCAAAGGAAUUGACGGGGACCCGCACAAGCGGUGGAUGAUGUGGAU
rnacentral:rRNA from 1 species